UCCACUACACAUACACAAAGAGUCCAAAGGCUGACUUCAGACAGGCAAAGUUAUUUGACGAGGAAUGUGAAUAAAGCAGAAUUGUAUUAUUUAUUGACCAAAUUCUUAGUCGAUUAUUAAAUUAAAAAUUGCUCUGCGCUGUCGGGCCAUUGUCAAUGAUGACAAUUUUGACAUAAGGACUUUUGGAAAGUGUCAUUAUGAAAUUUUUAACUCGUGCAGUAAAGUGAGCCGUGUUGUUAAAGAAUAGCUUAAAUUGUUAUAUUUUAUCGACACACAAUAACCAUAAAUUUAUCAGUUUAUAAGGCAAACCAUGCAGGUGGCUUCAACGAUGAUGCCUGCUACAAGUUUAGUGAAACCAGAUUGUUUUUCCUUGUCGUCAAUUAGAACUAAUGUGCGCUGCUAUUUCCCGCGACCUAAUGAAGUACGAAGAGUAAAUCGUCAUGGCUGGAAAACUAGGAUG
rnacentral:lncRNA from 1 species